AUUGAACGCUGGCGGCAUGCCUUACACAUGCAAGUCGAACGGUAACAGGUCUUCGGACGCUGACGAGUGGCGAACGGGUGAGUAAUGCAUCGGAACGUGCCCGAUCGUGGGGGAUAACACUUCGAAAGAAGUGCUAAUACCGCAUACGAUCUGAGGAUGAAAGCGGGGGACCGUAAGGCCUCGCGCGAUCGGAGCGGCCGAUGUCAGAUUAGGUAGUUGGUGGGGUAAAGGCUCACCAAGCCGACGAUCUGUAGCUGGGCUGAGAGGACGACCAGCCACACUGGGACUGAGACACGGCCCAGACUCCUACGGGAGGCAGCAGUGGGGAAUUUUGGACAAUGGGCGCAAGCCUGAUCCAGCAAUGCCGCGUGCAGGAAGAAGGCCUUCGGGUUGUAAACUGCUUUUGUACGGAGCGAAAAGGCUCCCUCUAAUACAGGGGGCUCAUGACGGUACCGUAAGAAUAAGCACCGGCUAACUACGUGCCAGCCGCCGCAGUAA
rnacentral:rRNA from 1 species